GGUCCGAUGGUGUAGUUGGUUAUCACAUCUGUCUAACAGUUUAUUAUAUUAUGUAAGCUGGACACAGAAGGUCCUCAGAUCGAGUCUGGGUCGGAUCA